UGACCGCGUAGCUCAGUUGGAAGAGCAUUGGGCUAGUAUUCCAAAGGUCGUAGGUUCGAAUCCCACCGUGGCCGGGAUAUUUUUCAAGCUCGCCCGGUGUGGAUAUGCACUCAGAGUAACAUCGCAAACAUAAUAUUCACCUGAGUACACAACAACAACACAGAAAAAAAAUUCAUAUUACUAGAACACUUUGGUAUUGAAGGAACUAGAUACUGUUCCGAAAUAUCACUUACUCGAACCGUCCUGACCGCGUAGCUCAGUUGGAAGAGCAUUGGGCUAGUAUUCCAAAGGUCGUAGGUUCGAAUCCCACCGUGGCCGGGCG
rnacentral:tRNA from 1 species